rnacentral:lncRNA from 10 species
CUCACCCCAUCCUCACCCCCACCACAUCCCCAUCCGUCCCCACUCACCCCAUCCUCCCAUCCUCUUCCCCACCCCAUCCAUGUCACAGUUCAUGGGAAGCCUGGUGCACAUGUGUAGAACCAGAGCCACCCUAUCCCUGUCCCUCCCUUCCCUCCCCACUGGCUGAGCGGGAGGGGAUGGCCUGGGAUUGGCUUCCUACCGUUGCCAUGACUGUUGCUAGGAUCAGGGCUGUCUCCAGCCCCUGCAGGAAACAUGUAAUGAAUUAUGGAUGUCCGAUUUUCUCUGAGAGGCCUGAUCUGUAAUGCAGAUGAGCACCAAGUCCCCCUUUUCUUCUGGUUUCUUAAGAAAAAAAAAUCAGUUUUAAAUCCGAAGCUGGCAUUUGUGUAGUCCUGGCUGCCCCUUGCAGUGACCGCUGCCCGGUGUUGAUUCUUAUGCAAAGAGAGGGCCGGGGUCAGGGUCUGUUGUUUGUUCUGGAAAAGCUUGUAGGAUUUUCACCAGACCUUGUGACCUUUGGGGACAUUUUUUUUGUGUGUGAUCAGAGACAGAAUGGGAUAUAAACACUAGAAGUGACAUUUUCUAAACGUGAGGCACUUCUCUGGGCUGGCAGUGCCAGGAGCGUGGAGGGCUCAGAUCUCUGCUGGCAAAGGUGUGAGUGCUCUCCCUUCUCCCUCUCCCUCCCACUCCAGCCUCCACCCCAGAGCAGAGAAACGUUUGCCCAAAUGUGACUUAUACCUUCGUUCUGAGAGUAGGCACAGGUGGGCCUCUUCCAUUGGCUGCCCUUGUGGGCUGUGAGCAGAGAGGGCCCUCAUGUUUACUAAGUGCCCUUGUGGGCUUGGGGCCACCCCACCGCCAGAUGGAGGGGACAGAGGUGACAGGCGACAGGGCUGGGCUCCCUGUCCAGCUCCCCAGUGGCAGAGGUCCUCGGACAGUGGGAAUCAGAAGGGCGUCUUUGCUGGGCCACCCUUGGCAGGGAGUGACCUGAGCAGGUGCUUCCUGUGUGAGUGGGGGUGUCUGGGAACUGUGCAAGGUGCGGCCAUGUGGGCAUGCUCAGAGCCUGGUUGGACUGUAAGGUAGGAAGGCAUCCAGUCGUUCCCAUGGGCCAGCACAGAGGAGAAACAGGCAUGUGUGCGCGGGCCUGAAGGCGGCCCCUUCCCGGCAGUCUUACCUAAGCGACUGGUCCCUUAGGCUCCCAGCUUCGUGCCUGUCACCCAGCAUCCCCAUUGCCUCACGGUUCCCCCUCUCACGGGAGAAACGUCGACAGUGCUGGUGGGAACACAGAGAUGCCACCCAGGACCCCCGUGAGAUGCAGACACAAGCGGCUUUAACUUUACAAUGCAAUGAAGCAAAAUAUGCUGGCUUUGAGACCCGGAGGGCACGAAAACAGGGAGCUGGGGUUCUGGAAGGACGCCAGCUCGGCCUGCGAGGGGCUGAAAAAUACCUGCUGUUGCCUCUGUCUCGUUGAGAGUUGCCUCCCACCACCACAGAGGGAACCACGUGAGUCAAAGACAGAAAGAAAGGGACGGAAAAGAACUGUAUUUCAAAGAGGCAAGCCUUUAUAUUAGAAUGACGGCAACGCAGUUUAGGUGAAAAUUACAUUUGUCACCCCCACACUGGAGUGUUUAUUGAACGGCAGCUGGGUCAGCUCAAGGAAUUUCAAAGAGACGCAGGACACGAAGUGAUGGAUGAGUGGAAUCCUCCACUAAAACUCCUUCCAGGACACUGUGUAUCUGUCUACAGUUUCAUUCUCGCUUUCUUUCUUUUUAUUGAGGGCAUGCCUUGGACGUUUUGUUUUUAGUCUCAGGACCAUUUUAAUGAAGAGCCAUGGGUCACUGCUUCUAUUCGGGGUCAUGUACAGACAACAGUCAGUGGAAAUAGCACUUGUCUUUGAAUUGAGCAGAUAGAAAAUAGAGAAGGAAAGUCCUGGAGGAGCGGCUUUCCCGCCAGCGUCUACCUGUAGAGAGUGAGACGAAGAUGGAGACAAUUAACUGGACGAAGCAGGCAAAAUCCCCGAUAAUUGAGGCCGGGUGCCACGGGGUGACUUUCCCUUUCUGGAGUUAUUUAGCCAGUUUCUUUCUCUCUGCUGUGUGUGUCGACACAACCUUGGCCUCCCCCGCUGUAAAAUGGAAAAACCACAGCCGCAGAGCUCACCAGGGAAUUCUGCAGCUCUCGGAAUGAUUGCGCGCCGGGCUGACAAUGCGAAGUGUUAGAUUAACGUGAAAGUGUUCUAUGUUGGAACAUCGAAUACAGACGAGGCAUGUAAGAAAACGAUGUUUUAAGAAAUAUGUUUUAUGCUAUAUCAUUUCUUUUACUGAAAACAAUUGGACAAACAAACAAGAAAAGCCAAGGAAAAUGCGACCGGGACGUGGAAUCGGCCCGUCUGUGAGUGGAAGGAUCACACUCCCAGCUGAGAUAGAAAUAAAGCCACGCGUGCCUCUGUUUCUAUGCGUGGUAAAAUAAACAAGCAACACUUCGAGGAACUAUUGAUUCUGUUAUUAAAACACAGCCUGUUUGGUUUGCCAGAUCGUAGCCAUUAUUAAUGCAUUAUUAAUUCUAUGUAAGUGCCUGCUUGUCAGAUCCAUUAACCGGGGGAGUAAUUGCCGAGGGAGAGAGCUCAGAAGGUGUGUCACGCUGCUCGCUCGGUCUAGGUGGAACGAAGCGGAGGGAAGCCACGCGGAGCAAUGGAGGCAGCCCUGUAAGGCAGUGUCCGUUUCUGUCUGUGGCCAAAAUGGCCAGGGAUGUUUUUGGCCAAGCUGAUGAGACAGAGAUUGGAAGAGGAAAGUUUCAUACUGAUACUUCGGCUGGCUGGCUGCAGAGUAACCUGCAUUUUGGGCCAUUUUUGGUUAAAUGUAUGAAAGCAAACAUCCACAUAAAGGCUGAAAUGGUUUGUCAAUGACCCAGAGGCUGUUCCCGGGAUCUUUUGAGCCCUGGGAACCUGGAGGUACCUGCAGAGCUGAGCAGAUUGCUUCCGCAUCAAGGAAACAAGCGGGACUUGUGAGAAGGGGCGGUUUGUGAGGCCCCUGGCUGCAGGCACUGGAGGUCCUGCCACCCAGCGGCACAAGGCUGCCCUGCCUGCUUUAAGGAGGAGACAGGACUAUUGACUUGGUCCGAUUUGCCUGAACUUCUUGAGUUUCUCACUGCCCGUGGAUUCCAGUUGCUUUAACACGGGAAAUCGGACCUGCUGGAGGAGACCCUGCGCUGUCCUCAAAGACAACACUGUUUCCACUAACGCAAGGAUACAGCGUGAUUGAAACAGUGCCCCACCCAUAGGGUGGCUGGCAGAUUGAACGUGGUGCUCUGUGGAAAAAUGUGGUCUGGCCAUACCCAGUGCUAUGCACGUGUUUACCACCAUUGCCUCCCCUUCUCCCAUCUCAUGUUAUCGGUCUGUAAAGUGGGUGUCAUGAGUGACUUCUGGUAUCUGCUGAGGGGGGUGGUGUCUGGGUGAGGCCCGAGUAGUUGGAGGCUUUGGUUUUUGCAUAAUGGGACCCCUAUUUUCCACUUAACCCGAACCAAAGCGGAAUCAUGGAAGGCCUCAAUGCAGGCAGCCCUGAGGGCGCAAGAAAGUUUGCUUUGUUCAAAGGGCUCCUGGGAGCCGGGCGAUGGGUGACCACGCCAGGAAGCACCUUGACUUGGGUACUUUGCAGAAUCUUCCUCCCAGCGCACCUAGACUUGCCGCUGUGUGGCAGCUUUGACUCCCAGCCCAGUAACAAACACGUCCAUGACGCUGUGGACUGACAGAGACCGCAGAGCUGGUCAACGUGAGGAAUGGGGCCCGCGCCCCGGGGGACCUCCAAGGCUGGGGGCACGGGAGCAAGCGGGUUACUCAGGCCCACACUAACCGCACUUGUAACUUCUCUCCCUGAGUCAAGGCAAGUUUUCAUUCAAGCCAACGUAACACAAUCUUGCCAAUGACUGGAAAAAUAACUAGCUUUGCAAAAAUUUAAAAAGACUCAGAUAAUACUCAAAUUUGGAGCCCUAAUGAAGUGUGUAAACCUCAUGUCCACAGACUGUGUUACUGGAGCCAGAGGGGGAAGAUCCCUGAAUCAGCCCGCCUGGGGCCGCCCACGGCUGCUCCUUGCGUGGGAGGUGGCCCCAUGCGGCCGCUUCUCUGGGGGACAGAACAGAAACUGGGGCGAGUUUGGCCCAGCCGCAACAUCCAAGUCUGUGUUCAUUUAAAACUAACUGCCUUUGAUUGCAUUUGACAAAAACAUUGGUCCAUGAUUGACUGGAAAUAAAAUAAUGAGGGUUUGAGACCCGGGCUCCGACCUCCCUUCUGUUCUGGGCCCGUGUGAGGCCGGGGACGGCCCGGGCAGGUGUCAGCAGCAGGAGUGUUUUCCGGGGUCCCUGUGGAGAACGUCUCUCCGCAGCUUCUCCUGGAACGUUGUCUCCGAGGCUCAGCAGCCUCCUCACACCCCCUGGGUCCACACCUCAGACCCAUCUGCCCGCCCGGCCAGCCUGCCUCGUCGUUCCCCGCGGGCUCGUGCCUCAACAGGCAGCGUGUGGAUGCCACCGUCACCUUCACGGGAGAGGCAGGUCCGCCCUGGAGCUGAUCCCCUGAUGAGGAAAUGAAAACACAGAGAGGAGAAGGCACUCGCCUGAGGUACCCUGCCAGACGCUGGGGACGGGCUCACACGCAGCGGCCCAAAGCCUGCUGCCUCUCGGAGCAGCGGGGGUCUGGGACGGAUAUUGAGGCACAGGGCCUUGGACGUGCCCGUGGAGCUGCUCAGCCAGUGGGGAGUUAGCCAGCGUUUUACAGGCAAAGCUGCGGAGCUGUGCUGGUGCCUGUGUGAAGAUGCUGAACAUCUCCAGGGACAAAUUGGAGCCUGAAGCCUCAGAGCUACUGAUGAUGAAGGAAAGAGGCAAACAUUCAGGAGCCACAGUGCAAGCUGAGGACAAGAGAAAGUACCAUGGCUACUGUGACGUAUCCUGACUAAUGCCGACAGCACAGGGAGCCUUUGCCUGCCGGAGGAAGCGGUGAGGAAGAGGUGGUGCGUCGUGCACUUCCUGUUGCUGUUUUAGGACAGCUUGGGUGAGUCCAGCAUUAAAAAUCAGAAUGGGAAAAAGGAGAGGAAACCCGGAAGGGUCUACAUGGGAAAGCCAGGGUCUGCGGAAGACAGAUUGUCUCUCCCAGGAUGCCUGGUGUUUUUGGAGGGGCACGCAGCAGUUGGAGGUUUGCAUUUCAGGAUUUGCCUUACAUUAAAAUGCAAUUUAUCUGUUAAUUCUAUUUACUUAUUUAACUCACAUGGAUUAACUGCCUAUUCUGUGUACCAGACGUAGUUUGUUCCAGGGAAGUGCUGCUGAACCAGGUAAACCCAGCCCCCCAUCUCCAGGAGCAGAGGCUGCAAGGACAGGAAGACAAUGAGGCAAUGGUGUGCUGGGGGAAUCGUGCUAAAGUGAAAGCAUCCUUCGAUCAUUUUUAAGUCAUUCUAGGAUCUUCAGGGCAUCAAAGUUUUGCCUGUGAGCCUCAAUUGGUCUAAUACAAAAAUACAGACUGUGGUUAAUCAUCUGAGCUUUGAGAUCAUGUGAGAUUGUAAUCCUGCCUUGGUUCUGCCACUUACUGCUGGUGAAGGAAAAAUUAAUCUUUCCAAACAGCUUGCAAGACAGAAAUCAUGCUUUCUACCUCCCAAAGCUGCUGUGGGCAUGAAACAGCCCACGUGCAUGAGGUGCCCAGCAUAGCGCCUGGAAAUCACACACAAUCACAGAAUCAUGGGGCCAGAGGAGGCCCUUGAAGUUUUAUCUGAUUUACUCCUCCCAUGAGAUGCUUUAAUUCUCCAACUUCUCCUCAAUGGCACCUAUAAAGAAAUGGGUUCUCCCUCUGUUGUUCUCUCUCUCGCUCUCAAGCUCUUUUAGUACUUAGAGUUACGCCACUUCAUUUGAAGUUUAACAUGGUAAAUCUUAGAGACCAUCCAAGUCCAACACAUUUAUUUUAUUUUUUUUUCUGAGACUGAGUUUUGCUCUUGUUGCCCAGGCUGGAGUGCAAUGGCACGAUCUCAGCUCACUGCAACCUCUGCCUCCCAGGUUCAAAUGAUUCUUUUGCCUCAGCCUCCUGAGUAGCUGGGAUUACAGGCAUGCGCCACCAUGUCCGCCUAAUUUUGUAUUUUUAGUAGAGACGGGUUUUCUCCAUGUUGGUCAGGCUGGUCUUGAACUCCUGACCUCAGGUCAUCCGCCCUCCCUUGGCCUCCCAAAGUGCUGGGAUUACAGGCGUGAACCACCACGCAUGGUCCCAACACCCUUAUUUUAAUGCUGUUAAUGUCACUGGAUUUCAUUUUUGGCCCAGCAUCUGCUUUCUCUUGUGGAAUGUGCCACGUGCAGUGGAGAAGAAUGUGUAUUUUCCAGGCGGUGGGUGCAGUGUUCAUCAUUUGGGUCAAGGUGAUGGAUGGUGUUGUUCAGAUAUUUGUCUUUACUGAUAUUUUUGUUGAGGGAUGUUGAAGUCCCUAAUUAUGAUUGUGGAAUCAUUUAUUUCUCCCUUUAACUCUGGAUGUUUGCAUCAUGUGUUCAGAAGCUGUUACAAGGUGGGUUCAACUCUACGACUGUCAGGUCUUUCUGAAGAGCCUUCCCUUCAGCAUUAUGAAGCGUCCCUCUUUAUUUCUAAUAAUACAUUUUGUCUAAAUGUCUAUUUUAUCUGAUAUUCACAGAGCUUCUCUAGUAUUCGUAUACUUACUGUUUGCAUGGUAUUUUCUUUUCCUUUCAUUUACUUUCAAUCAAUAUGUCUUCAUAUUUAAAGUGAAUCUCUAAGAACACUACAAUCUAAUUAGACAAAAAAUAAAGCAAAUCUUUUAGAGAUAGUAUAUAGUUGAAUCUUGCUUUCAAAAACUGUCUGACAAUCUGUCUUCUAAUUGGAGUGUUUAUUCUAUUCAUAUUCAAUGUAGUUGUUCAUAUGGUUGGAUUUAGGCCUACUUUUUGGGAGACAGGGGACAGAGUCUCACUCUGCCACCCAGGCUGAGUACAGUGGCAUGAUCAUGGCUCACUGCAGGCUCAGCCUCCCAGGGUCAAGCAAUCCUCCCAUCUCAGCCUCCCAAGUAGCUAGACUACCAGCACGUGCCACCACACUCAGCUAAGCAUCUUUUAUUAUUUGUUUUCUGUUUGUUUCCUCUGUUGUGGUUCUCUGUUCCUCCUAUUCUGCCUUCAUUUGAAUUAUGUUAAUGUUUUUUAGAAUUCCAUUGUACUGGUUUUAUUGACUUUUUAGCUAUAAAUACUCUCGGCAUUUUUAAGUGGCGGCUAAUGGAAUUCCAGUGCACAUCCUUAGAGUUUUCUUAGGGUUAAUAGUGUAACAUCUUAUGUACAUUUGUAAACCUUGCAGCAAAAUAAGUCCAUCUGCUUCCCCUUCCUCCGUUUUUUAAUGCUAUAGUUGCCAUAGGUAUUACAUCCACAUACUUUAUAAGCCUCACAAGAAAAUGUUUUACUUUUUGCUUUGAACAGUCACAUGCUUUGAACAGUCUUAAAUUAAAAGGAAAAUUAGUCUUUUGUAUUUAUCCAGCUAUUUACAAUUUCAGAUUUCUUCAUUCUUUCCCAAAGGUGCAAGUUUCCAUCUGGUAUUAUUUCUCUUUAGCCUCAAAAACCUCCUCUAGCAUUUCUUGUAGUCCAGAUCUGUUGGCAAUGAAUUAUUAUAGCCUUCUUUUAUCUGAAAAUGUUUUAAUUUUACAUUUAUCUUGAAAAGACAUUUUUUACUGGUUGUAUAAGUUUGUGUGACUAUUUUUUUUCUUUUAGCUUGUUUGGGUGGUUGUUCCACCAUAUUCUGGCUUCCAUAGUUUCUGAUGAGACGUCAGUAGUACCUGGAGUUGCUACUUCUCUCUAUAUAAUGUGUCAUUUUUCAUUUGCUGUGUUCCAGAUUUUUUUGGCUUGUUUUUCUUUGUAUUUAUUGAUCUUGAGGCUUAUGGAGCUUCUUAAAGUUGUAAAAUUAUGUCUUUCACCAAAUUUGGGCAUUUUUGGACAAUUACAUCUUCAAAUAUUUUUUGCCCCCUUCUCUCCUCUUUUUAUGGGACUCCAGUUCCAUGGAUGUUUAACAUUUGAUGUGGUCUUUCAAGUUCCUGAGGUUCUUGUUAGUUAUCCAUUGCUGCAUAACAAAUUACCCCCCAAACAGUUGGGGGUUAAACAAUAAUCAUAAUUUAUUACCUGUCUGUGGUUUCUGUGGGCCAGAAUCCACACAGGGCACUGUGAGGACAGACUGUCUCUCCUGGGAUGCCUGGCAUUUCAGCUGGAAUACUGAAGCCUGAAGGUUGGAGUCAUCUGAAGGUGCUCUCACCCACACAUCUGGCAAGUGGAGGGCUGAGGGCCCAGUGUGGCUAUUGGCCAAACACCCACGUGUGGGCUCUCCGUGUGGCCAGGACUGCCUCACAACACAGUGGCUGGGUUUGAAGGGCAAGCACGGGGGUUGGAGGCAGAAGUCAUGUUGCCUGUGGCGACCUGGCCUGGGAGUACCACAGUGUCACUUCCCCUGUCUCCUUUUGGUUGGGAAAGUUUCAGGGGUCUGACCAGCUAGAGUCCGCCCAGAGUCUGCCUAACUGGAGACUCUGGAUUUUGCUCUACCCCUGUUUAUUUGUUCAUUUGUUUGUUUAACCUGAUCGAUCUCAAACUGCAAACUGUUUAUUGGGUGGCAGCUCAAAUCUCAGAAAAAUUUGUAAAUUCUCCACUGGUGUGCUUUGUGUCUUCCUUGUGCACGCAUGUUUCAGGAGCUAGCCAGAGAUCUGGGCAGAGUUCAUGGCUCUCUCUCCCUUUCUCUCUCAAAAUUCUCCUCCUUUUCCAGAGGCUGUGUUUUCCCUGAACUCUGGCAUCCAGUCUUCAGGCAAGGACAACUUCUAUUAUGGUUUUAGCUGCCCCUACAGCACCAACUACAAUACACCCUUAGGAUAAAUCCAUAGAAAUGAGAAACUUGUUCUGUGUUACCACCUAAGAUCUACGCUUUAGCAAAUUUCAAGUAUAAAAUACAGUAUUAUGAACUAUAGUCACCAUGGUGGACAUGAGGUCUCCAGAAUUUAUUCCCCCUGCAUAACUGGAACUUUGCACCCUUUGACCAACACUUCCUCAACUUUCCCACCCCAGCUCCUGGCUGCCACCAUCCUACUCUCUGCUCCUAUGAGUGGCACUAUUUUAGAUUCCACAGAUAAGUGAGAUAUUGUGGUAUUUGUCCUCUGUGAUCAGCUUAUUUCACUUAGCAUGAUGUCCUUCAGGUUCAUCCAUGUUGUUGCAAAUGGCAGGAUGUCCUUCUUUUGAAAGACUGAGUAAAAUUCCACUGGGGACAGGUAUACACCACAUCCUCUUUACCUGUUUAUCCGUCCAUGGAUAUUAGGCUGUUUCCAUAUCCUGGCUAUUGUGAAUAAUAUGCCAGUGAACACGGGAGUGGAGGCAUCUCUUUGAGAUUUGGAUUUCAUUUUCUUUGGGUAUAUCCCCAGAAGUGGGAUUGCUGGAUCAUAUGGUGGCUAUGUUUUUAAUUUUUUGAGGCAUCUCCAUACUGUUUUCCAUAAUGGCUGUAUCAAUUUACAUUCCCACUAACAGUUCUAAGGGUUCCCUCUUCUUGACACCCUCCAUUCCUAAUGGUUUUGUGUAAAUGCGCAGGUCUCACCUCCACAGUUGGGUUGUAAUCCCGAGAGCAGAGCUGCAGUCCUCAUGCCUGCUGACCCUGCAGGGUGUGGUGUCUCUGUCCAUCCAAGGACCAGCCCUGUUCAUUGUCUAACACAGCAGCAGAAGCUGUGCACACUGACUUUCCCUACAAGAGCAGUGACCAGAGAAAGUUUAAUUUAUUCCACGCAGAAAUAUGGAUUUGAUAUCGUCACAUUCACCGCUGGAAAGUCAAUGAUUGGAUGUCCGCAAUGUCACAACAAAGGCCUGUCUCAUCUGUGUCAUCAGGCUGAGGAGGGGAUGUUGACCUGCAGAUGACAUCACGGCGGCCACACACGUGCCUGGGGCUGCUGGAGAUGCUGGUUGGGGAGGAGUUUGGCCUUCUGAGGAGGAAGUCCCAGAGCAGACUUUGGCUCAACUCUAAGGUACAUUUGAGCUUGUAGAGGGAUCCCCGCCGCUCUCCUGCCUGUGAGCUCGCCCUUGGGCUUGGCAGCCGUGGUGCCUCCUGCCUGUGAACGCCCCUCUCCUCCUUUCUGUGAACGUCCCUCUCCUUCCUGUGAACGUCCCAGACUCUCCUCCUGCCUGUGAACGUCCCUCUCCUGCCCGUGAACGUCCCUCUCCUGCCCGUGAACGCCCCUGUCCUCCUGCUCCGCUCUCUCGACCUUUCCUUCCUUUUGUUGGAGAAUAAAGACCUGCGUCUCAUGGAGGUGGGGCCCAAUACCUGUUGGGAGGCCGGGGCUGGCAAACAAUGAAAAGAUCGCUGUUUUCCAAACUCACUCAAAGGCUUGUCGAUUCGACCUUUACUUCCAGAUCAGAGAAAAUGAUUUUGAUUUCAUGUUUUUGUUACCACGACGUUUGAAGGUGUGACCUUUAAAGCGACUUUUGUCUCCCGCUCAAACGCUUCUUGCCCCUUUCGGUUUUGUGCUGAAAUCAAAGUUGAUUCGGUUGCACCAAAGGCCUCCGUCAUUUUGGCUUCUGCCUGACGCGCACUGUGGGAAGAACGGUUUCAUUAUUGUGGGUCGCACCUCACCUCCCUUCGUGCU